UGGGGAAUAUUGGACAAUGGGCGGAAGCCUGAUCCAGCCAUGCCGCGUGUGUGAAGAAGGCCUUUUGGUUGUAAAGCACUUUAAGCGAGGAGGAGGCUACUUGGAUUAAUACUCUAGGAUAGUGGACGUUACUCGCAGAAUAAGCACCGGCUAACUCUGUGCCAGCAGCCGCGGUAAUACAGAGGGUGCGAGCGUUAAUCGGAUUUACUGGGCGUAAAGCGUGCGUAGGCGGCUUCUUAAGUCGGAUGUGAAAUCCCUGAGCUUAACUUAGGAAUUGCAUUCGAUACUGGGAAGCUCGAGUAUGGGAGAAGAUGGUAGAAUUCCAGGUGUAGCGGUGAAAUGCGUAGAGAUCUGGAGGAAUACCGAUGGCGAAGGCAGCCAUCUGGCCUAAUACUGACGCUGAGGUACGAAAGCAUGGGGAGCAAACAGG
rnacentral:rRNA from 1 species